rnacentral:rRNA from 1 species
UACAGAGGGUGCGAGCGUUGUCCGGAAUCACUGGGCGUAAAGGGCGCGUAGGUGGCCCGAUAAGUCGGGGGUGAAACGCUGCGGCUCAACCGCAGCACUGCCUUCGAGACUGUCAGGCUUGAGCACGGUAGAGGCAGGUGGAAUUCCCGGUGUAGCGGUGGAAUGCGUAGAGAUCGGGAAGAACAUCGGUGGCGAAGGCGACCUGCUGGGCCGUUGCUGACACUGAGGCGCGACAGCGUGGGGAGCAAACAGG